AUGUGUCUUUUUUUUGUAGUGCUUAACUAUGGGAUCAUAACCCUCAUCCCCAAAGUCCCGGGGGGCUCAGAGAUCCGCCAGUUCUGUCCGAUCACGGUGAUCAACAUGAUCUUCAGGAUCCUGGCUAAAGGGUACGCCAAUAGGGUGACCCUUCUAGCGGACUCUGUCACCCACCCCAACCAAUCCGCCUUCAUCCAAGGCCAGUUCAUUUUGGAUGGGGUGUUGGCUUUUCACGAAGUCCUUCAUGAAGUCCGAACCAAGCACCUUCAUGCGGUCUUCCUGAAGCUCGACUUCCAUAAAGCGUAUGACAUUGUCCAUUGGCCUUUCCUUCAGGAAGUUCUGCUCCGCAAGGGUUUCGACGACCGGUGGGUUACCCGAGUUAUGCAACUCGUCACCUGUGGUCGGACGGUGAUUAACAUUAACUGUGAGAUCGGGCCUUACUUCCCCACCCUCUGUGGGGUACGCCAGGGUGACCCGUUCUCCCCGUUUCUGUUCAACAUGGUGGUCGAUGCUCUCACGGUAAUCCUUGAUAAGGCCAAAGCUUGUGGCCAUAUCCGCGGCAUAGUCCCUCACCUGGUGGGAGGGGGAGGGGUCUCCCUCCUUCAAUACGCGGAGAUACCAUAA
rnacentral:rRNA from 1 species